rnacentral:rRNA from 1 species
UACGGAGGGUGCAAGCGUUAUCCGGAUUCACUGGGUUUAAAGGGUGCGUAGGUGGGCAGGUAAGUCAGUGGUGAAAUCUCCGGGCUUAACCCGGAAACUGCCAUUGAUACUAUCUGUCUUGAAUACCGUGGAGGUGAGCGGAAUAUGUCAUGUAGCGGUGAAAUGCUUAGAUAUGACAUAGAACACCAAUUGCGAAGGCAACUCACUACACGAAUAUCGACACUGAGGCACGAAAGCGUGGGGAUCAAACAGG